GUCCAAAACUUCCUUAUUUUAAAGAGCUAAGAAGUUUCUGGCUGGAGUGCUGUAUGGACGUGUGGGCCGAUUAAGGGAUGCCUUAUAUAGCUUUAGUCCAGGGAAGAAGAAGCUUUGAAGUUGGAGUGAAUGCUGGGAGCUUCCUCUUUGCAAGAGAACCAGAUGCCUGAUAAAAACACUUAAGGAAAGUUCCUCUGUAAGGUUGAAGCUCAGUGGCAAAACUUGCUUCCAGUAGCUGGUGUCUGUGUCACACAUUUAGCUCACCAGUCAGCCAAAACCCUGUGUGAUCCUGGCAAGAAUGCUUGUUUUCAUGAGCCAACAAGUCAUCCGUGCCUGUGACUGAUACAUAUGAUGCUGCUAAAUCUAUCUAAAGCAACAGCCGUGGCGCCUUCAGGACAGCCAUUCCCAGAACAAGGCUGAAAACAUGACCUGGCUGGGAAGCACCAGGCCUUAUCCUGACAGUGUUUUGUUAUCGACACAGCCCAAGCUCUGACCCUUUUGGCUUUAUCCAAGUCAUUAUUCCAUUCUUUUGUUUCCUACAAGAAGAUAAAGAGAUAAAUUUCAACCUGAACUAAAGCUUAUGGAUCCUGAGAACUGGAGCCUCUGGUUAUGUUUGCUCCUGACUUUAACAAGAUAUUUAAAUGUGUGCUUUAAACACAGGCAUAGCUACAUUAAAAAGCUGUGUAAAGCUGAGCAGCAAUAAUAGAUCUCAACAGAUUCUAAAAUUUCUUCAUGCUUUUACAAUGAAAAGUAGAUACACUUGCAACAAAAUCUGAGUUCCAUGCUUCUUGCUGUUUCCAGCAAUUCACAGCAAAUUUGUGCUUUCUGGGACAGCCUAGCCUCAGGAAAAGAAGACCAAAGCCACUUCUGCUCAGGUAUGCCAUCUCAGACACUGUGAACAACUGGAUCUAUAGAGAAAGAAGGCAUAAACAGGCAAGUAUAGGAAAUACUUUCUUUUCCUCCAGAAAACACAAUUCAGAAAUUUCCCCAUUGGAAAUUCUACCAUGGCUCUUGUGUUCCCACAGUUAUCCCAUAACAAUGGAUUUUUGCUUCCUGAAUUUUUUCAAGUCCGUAUGUUUUUCAGGCACAACACCCUGUGGCAAAAUGUCUGGCAAUCAAUUUUAAUUUUAUGCUAGGUAGAAAAUUACUUCCUUUGAAAUCUGAUGUCUUAAUCUAGGGGGUUUAUGGUAAGUGGUGAGCAGUUGUUAUCCAAGUUUCCAUCACAUUUGUGACUUUAUAUGCACUGAUUGAAGGGUAUGUUUCUCUAAGAAAGUCUUAAGAAUGACUACUUUAUCCUGAGUAUGACAACUAAUAUUGCAUCCCGUCUAUUUUUUUUAAAUUUUACAAAAAGUAGAUUCCAAACAAAUUUUGUUUGAAAACAAUCAAAGGAGCUCUGAGAACCUGUGGCUCUGCUAGUCUCCCAGGACUUCUCAUCUUCUGGCUGUGUGGCAGAAAGUUGGCAAUUUUUAAGUUCCCACUUCAGACAAAUGUACAUGUUUGAUUUUGCCACCCUACACCAUCUAUCUGAUGAUGCAGUCACAGCUUGAGCCCCUUCACAAAUCCCAGGGAAAUGAUUAAAUUCUAAAAUGAACUAAUCUGAGUUCUUAAAGGAGCAGCUAUACAAGCCUAAUAUAUAUCUGGAUAUUCUGCAUAUAAAGUGGAUAGCAGACUGUUCAAAACCACUUUCUCUUGCUGGGGGGUAAAUCAAUGUCAUGGCAGAGAGGGACAUGCAGAAAAAAUCUUAAGCCAUGACGUGCUUUAAGCAUCCAAUCUUGCAAAGAAAUUGCUGUAUGGAAGACAGUGAGCAAAACUGGACUGGGACAAUAAGAGCAGAAAAAGUGACAGAGGAAAUCAGGUUGAACUGUUCUGGAAAGCUUCAUCUCUGAUUCUGUGUAGGUGUGUUCCUGCAAGAAUUGGGUGCAUUUCUUCCAUAAAGCUCUGAAACUUGACACAAACUUGUCAAGAGAUGUUGACUUUUAUAUCUAAAAAUGUAGCUGAAAAUAGAAUCAAAACUGAGUUCCCGUUGAGUUUUAGAACUAUCAUAAUCAAAGUCCAACAAUGGCAAAAAUAUCCUAAAAAAGAAAAAAGCUACCAUUGCUUAGAUAUGACUCUUAUCUCUCACUUUCUCAAAUAAACAGCUUCAGCACUUCCAUCUUCUUAAUCAUACGGAAGCCUUUGUGGGCAUCUAAAAGAUACACAUCUUUGAGAGGUCUGGAUUUUUUUAUAAUGCACAAAUUGUAAGCUGUCUAAAAGAAAAAAAUACCCACAUAUUAAAAGAUCUACAGGCAGCAAGUUAGACUGAAAUUGCACCUAGACAUUCCCCAGUGUUUGACAGUUUACAAAGCCUUUCUUGAAAACAAGUGCAUACUUCAGUGCAGUGUUAGUUGAAAGUCAUAUUUCAGGUGUAGUCUUGUUCCAAUAUUAUUAUGGUUUUCUAGUGGAAUUUAUGACAGAUUAGUAAGGUAAUCAUCUCUGAUAAAUCCUGGUUGUAUUAAAAACAUAGCAUUUCUUAGUGGCCAAAUGAGAAAUCCUACAUUCGGUCUUUGCCUUUCAUGCCUUCAGCUUGUGAGAAGGGCUUUGUUGAAAUCUCAAUGAACUUCUUGUGUUCAGUUUUGACAGGUAGUUGUUUAAAUAAUUUCUGUCUUGGAAAGCUGAUGUGGUCCAGUCCCUACCAGAUUUUUUUUCUGUACAGAAGGAAUGAAGCUAAAUCAAACAGAAUACACCUUUUUCUUCAUGUAUCACUUCUUUCAUAGCUCAGAAACAAAUACAGUUUCUGUCUGGUAGUUGCAUAUGUGGGAUAUUUACCCAGGGUAAAUGGGGAUUUUUUUGUUGGAAUCAAAAUAUUUUAGAAAACCAUCACAGUCAAAUGCUUCAAGAACCCAGCAAUUUAGGGUUUUUAUAAGUACCUGAUCUAAGCUUGGUUUUAUUUUCAUGAAAGUAAUGUUGAGUGCUUUGCAAUGUAUGUGUUCAAGGUAAUGUUCAGGAACAGAUACCUAGAAUAAUCCUCUUAAUUAACUUGACAGAACUUCCUAUUAGUGUUAAUAUUUUACUGUUAGUAGCUUUAUUCCUGUUAAUAAUUGCUCCUUUUAGCAGCCCAGACACUUAGCAAAAAGAUGGCUUUGAAGCAGAAUAAACAUGUUUAGUCUCACAGAGCUGGAAGUUUCCAGUUUGCAGACUAAAUAAGGCUUGGGUAAACAGCAGCAGAAACAGAUAGCCACAUCGAUAUCUGGAAUAUUAAAUGACUAUCAUUAUCACUACUGCUGUCCUUACCUGGUGUUAUUUAAUGAAGGCACUGGAAUCACUUCUGUACACAACCAGACUAUAUGUUUCACUGUUUGUAAUCAAGCCCAGAAUAUGUUCAAUAUAUUUCCCAUAUUUCCUCAAUAUAACCUUUUUCUAAGGCUGUCAUCUUAAGUACUUUGUAUUCUCAGUAUCCCCAUAGCUUUUAGUGACAUAAAAAGUUGAGACUGUUCAUUCCAUGCUGAAACAUUUGUCACAUGUAUAGAAGAAUAGAAAAAAAUUGCACUUUCAGAAAUGCAGAAAUGUUGGUGUUUAUUACAUUAGUUUCAAUGCGACUGUAUCUUCCAUAAAGCAUUUAAAACAACUGGAAACUCAUAAUGUCACUGAAAUUCAUAGACACCAUGACAUUCGUAUCAAAUAUGUUAUCAUAGCAAGAUGCUACAUGAUACAGUGCUGUGUUUUCACCUCUUCAAUAAAUUCCUCUUAUGUGAGUAAACGACGACGCAUAAGAGAUCUAUAAAAUAACCAGUAAUACUGUAACUAAAACUAAAUGAUCAACAAUAUUUUGAACUCCUUGAUAUAGUAGCAUAAACCAUAAAACUAAACAAAACACACAAAAUCAAUCAAGAGUGACUGGGAAGGAACAUGUGACAUGUCUCAGUAAUGUAGAUAUUGAAUAACUGAGGGUUUAGACAGGUUUUUGGGCUGCCUUUGGAGAGGAUGGCAACAGACUGCAACAGUUUAUUUUAGGAACUUCCAUUUUUCUGUGUAAUCUUGCUCAUAGUAGAAGAAAAUUGAAUAUUUCAAAUUGUCUUCUAAUUCUUUUAGGAAACAAUCUUUUUCUGUCAUCCUAAUACUUAAUUAUAUCUAUUGUAUCAAUAAAAUUUUAUAGAGAUUACACUGUGCACGAUCAAACAGCAUAUGUCCUUUGUUAACUUAUUAUAACCAUGAAAAAUAUACACUUUUUGCUUGAUAAUCAGAAGUAAGAAAACAUUGUGUUAAUUGUUCACAAACUAAGUUGUCAAUGCCAUAAAAAAUAAUUAAGCAUUUAAUGUAACAGUAUUUAUAAAACCCAUCUAAUUAUGCUACUCUUCUUUUAAAUUCCCUGUGCUGGCUUUCUCUUGGCUUUUUGGCUGAGUUCAUACUUCUUGUUUCUAGCUAGAAGCAGCCUAUUAUCAAACUAAACAGGAAACGUAACCUGUGUUAUGAUUUGCAUUUAUAGAAGUGGUUUUGCUUUUGAAUUUGGCAUUUAAUAAAGAAUUCAUAUUUAUGCAAAAAAAUUCUGACCAGCUCCACCCAUGCUGCUUCUGAGACUGCUCAUUUUCCUGCUGUGUUUUGGGGCUUGAACAACUGUCAGUACUGGACAGAUUUUAACAGCUUCUUCUUAUUGUUUCUAGCAAAGAAGAAAAAAAAAAAAAGUCUUUCCUCCAGAUUCCUAGAGAAAAUAUAAGUACAACAUACCACAGAUUUUUCAUAGCAGUUGUGAAUAACAGACUCUCAUCCAUAUUUUCACUUGAAGAAAUGUCUGCCUAGCUGUAUUAAAUUAGCUUCCUGUCCUUUAGUCACUUGUACAAUGGAUGUGCUGUAAUUUAACUUGUGAUUUAAACUCCAUUUCAGGAGACAUCAAUUUAAUCUGUGCAAACUGAUUUUUGGAGUGGGCUUCUGUCAUACAAAGCCGUAUAACUGCAAUGUAGGCUUUGUUUGACAACUUAAAUGGAGCUAGCCAUUUUAGUAAAAAAAAUUAUUUUCCUAUUAAAGUUAGGAGUGAUGGAAGGUGUGAAGUGAUCCUGUCUGGUUUCAGAGCUAAAUUCAGAGGAUGAAUAUAGGAAAUUAAUAUUUAACCAUUUAUAUCA